GUCUCUUUGUAAAAUAUAAAUAGAGAGUCGGGCCUGCUCGGUGAAUAAGUUUUUAACAGCUGCGGUAUUUUAACUGUACUAAGGUAGCAUAAUAAUUUGCCUUAUAAUUUGAGGCUAGAAUGAAUGGUUUGACGAAGGUUAAUCUGUCUCCAUCUUAUUUUUUAAAAAGUUAAUUCUUAAAGUGAAAAAGCUUAAAUUUUUCAAAGGGACGAGAAGACCCUAAUGAGCUAAUAAUUUAAUUAUCAUUAUUUAAAACAUUUAGGAGGAGGUAUAUAAAUUUUAAUGGGGGUGAUUAGGGAAUAAAUUGUGGAAUAGGUACUUCCCUUAAAUUAGGGUAUUUUGGUAGAUAAAGUAACCCAAUGUAAUAUUGCUUAUAGUAUAGUUACCAUAGGGAUAACAGCGUAAUUUGUUUAGAGAGUUCUUAUUGAAAAACGAGAUUGCGACCUCGAUGUUGGAUUAAAGUAACCCUAAGGUGCAGAAGCUUUAGUAGGUAAAUCUGUUCGAUUUUUAAUACUUU
rnacentral:rRNA from 1 species